rnacentral:rRNA from 1 species
GAUGAACGCUGGCGGCGUGCCUAAUACAUGCAAGUCGAACGAAUCACUUCGGUGGUUAGUGGCGAACGGGUGAGUAAUACGUAAGCAACCUGCCUAUGGGACUGGGAUAACGUUUGGAAACGGACGCUAAUACCGGAUAGGUAGAGAGGAGGCAUCUCUUCUCUAUUAAAGUUUAGAUACACCGAUAGAUGGGCUUACGGCGCAUUAGCUAGUUGGUGAGGUAACGGCUCACCAAGGCGAUGAUGCGUAGCCGGACUGAGAGGUUGAACGGCCACAUUGGGACUGAGACACGGCCCAAACUCCUACGGGAGGCAGCAGUAGGGAAUUUUCGGCAAUGGGGGAAACCCUGACUGAGCAACGCCGCGUGAGUGAAGACGGCCUC